rnacentral:lncRNA from 1 species
UCUAGCUCCCCUUUGUCCAAGAGCCACGUGGUGCGUCGCUAUUGAAAAAAAAACGGUUUUGGCAACCGAUGGUCAUUCAAACGAGGCCUUAGAAAAGGGCAUCACAUGCUCAUUUAAGGAGGACAACUAGUAACGGUAAAAAAAACAGGAGAGAGGACACAAAAAAAGGAUAAUAAAAAAAUUCCUCAAAACUUUUGAAGGAAGACUCUGGAUUGUUCUUCCUUCUGCUCUCACACAACUCUCUCUAUCUCAACGCUCCAUUGAAAAAGAAAAAAAAAAGAAAAACGGAAAAAAGACCCAAUUGUCUUCUUCUUUCCACCAUCAACCGAAAACCCUUUCGUCUUCUCCCUAAGCAUCUACCUGUUCCGCC